GGGAACUGCUGGUCUGGAAAGCGGGGCUGCUUCUCCGGGAUGAGCCCGAGCCCUGCCAAGCCCCUCAAGGCAUUGAAGCUUUAGCUCACCUGAUCCGAAAGAUCGUGGGCAUCCGGGCUGAGUUAAAGACUGAAUUUUUGUGGGAAGCAAGGGACACGUUCUAAAAUAACCCUAGGAUCACUCUCCGAACUUGUGCUGAGUCUAGGCAAGCAGUGUUACUCAGUCGCCUUGAUCUUGGAGCUGCUGUGUACUGGGGACCUCAUACUAGCCUGGUUAACUGUAUUCCCAUUAGAGUACACGGGAUCGCAGUACUCGGGACAAGCUGAGUUCGGCUGCUGUGAGUAACAUGACCUGGAAAGAGAGCACUAGCAAGGAAUAAGGAGUGAUACAGUGACUGUUGGCUAAGAGAUAAUGUCUGCAAGUCACCUAAAACCAUUGCAGACACAGGGAGAUUGGCUUUUAUGGAUUUGGAGGAUUCCUGAUUUUGAAGACUCUGAUGAUUGCUAAAGAGUUAAAUGAAAUA